GACGAACGCUGGCGGCGUGCCUAAUACAUGCCAGUCGUGCGGACCUUGUUGAAAGCUUGCUUUUAAAAGGUUAGCGGCGGACGGGUGAGUAACACGUGGGCAACCUGCCUGUAAGACUGGGAUAACGCCGGGAAACCGGGGCUAAUACCAGAUCGUUUUUUCCUCCGCAUGGAGGAAAAAGGAAAGGCGGCUUCGGCUGCCACUUACAGAUGGGCCCGCGGCGCAUUAGCUAGUUGGCGGGGUAAUGGCCCACCAAGGCAACGAUGCGUAGCCGACCUGAGAGGGUGAACGGCCACAUUGGGACUGAGACACGGCCCAAACUCCUACGGGAGGCAGCAGUAGGGAAUCUUCCGCAAUGGACGAAAGUCUGACGGAGCAACGCCGCGUGAGUGAAGAAGGCCUUCGGGUCGUAAAACUCUGUUGCCGGGGAAGAACAAGUGCCGUUCGAACAGGGCGGCGCCUUGACGGUACCCGGCCAGAAAGCCACGGCUAACUACGUG
rnacentral:rRNA from 1 species